GGAGUAUAGAGGUGUAUUUAACAUGGAGACAGGAGUAUAGAGGUGUAUUUAACAUGGAGACAGGAGUAUAGAGGUGUAUUUAACAUGGAGACAGCAGUAUAGAGGUGUAUUUAACAUGGAGGAGUAUAGAGGUGUAUUUAACAUGGAGACAGCAGUAUAGAGGUGUAUUUAACAUGGAGACAGGAGUAUAGAGGUGUAUUUAACAUGGAGACAGCAGUGUAUUUAACAUGGAGACAGCAGUGUAUUUAACAUGGAGACAGCAGUGUAUUUAACAUGGAGACAGCAGUAUAGAGGUGUAUUUAACAUGGAGGAGUAUAGAGGUGUAUUUAACAUGGAGACAGCAGUAUAGAGGUGUAUUUAACAUGGAGACAGCAGUGUAUUUAACAUGGAGACAGCAGUGUAUUUAACAU